CCGCUGGCCAUGCUAAAAUAGCCUUUUGGUCACUAGAGGCCUCUAUCAUUCUCUAUGGCAUUUCCCUCCUUUUUUGAAUUCCCACAGAUGACACGUCAUCAACAAGAGACAAAAUAGGUUUGCAGAAAGCUUGGUUAGAAAAAUACAAUCUUAUUUAGGUUUUGGUACGAGAGCCUGUGUUUAACGUGGUUCCUCUAACAUGUAUAAUGACGUGGAAUUUGGGUGUACACAUUUUCUAAUUUAGAGUGUGUUUACCAACUAAUUAUUCAUCAAGAAAGGUUGUCAUACACUGUUUCUUAGUGUAUGAGGACCUCACAGUUGGCGAAAACAAACCAAACGCUAGUAGCUCUAGUCUUAAGUCUGAAAGAUACGUUAGCUAGCUAAAUUAUACAUUUUUUUCCGCAGAUAAUAAGGUCAUGUCUUCUGUUCAAUUUGCUAUCUGCUUCCUUCUGAAAUAUAUUUGAGGUGAGGGGUCUCCUUGCUAUGGCUAUCAGUGCCGACUGCCUUUCUAGCUAUCUAACUAAAUGCACGUUAGCCACAUAAAAUUAACAUUUGACUCCGUGUUCUCAACUAGCAGAAUUCAAAAAAAUAGUUAGCUUAUGAUGAAUUAAUGUAAUUUUACACUUAAAAUAUAUAUUAUAAAUAUUUAACUUUUAUUUAACUAGGCAAGUCAGCUAAGAACACAUUCUUAUUUACAAUGACGGCCUAACAAAAGGCCUCCUGCGAGGACGGGGGCUGGGAUUAAAAAUACAAAUAUUUAAAUAUAGGACAAAACACACAUCAUGACAAUGGAGACCUAACGUAACAACAUAGCACGGCAGCAACACACGACAACACAACAUGGUAGCAGCACAGAACAUGGCACAAACAUUAUUGGGCACUGACAACAGCAAGAAGGUAGCGACAACAAUACAUCACGCAUGACGUGUAGCUAGCUAUAUGAUCAUGCUUUAUGUACCACUCACUCCAGUGUUAUCAGAUCAUGGUUGACACCGAGAAAAGAGCAGUGGGCUGUGGUGCCACAUCCACCAUAGACCUCAGUGGAAAGAACAAAGAGAAUGAGAAGAAGAAGCGGUCCUGUGUGAAACUAGUGAUGGCAGAUGUGAAGAAACAGGUGGACGUCUAGUUCGGGGAUGUCAACCUUCACAAGGACAGGCUUCUGAGACGACUCAUUGAGGAGUCACAAGAUGGAUAUGUUGACUAAUCAGUGUUGACAUCCUUCAACUGAAUGAAAAAUCGGACAACUGAUUGCAAGGGCGCUGAAAAAUGUAUCUGUUGUUGAGGUCAAGCUAGAGGGAACUAAAGUUUGACAGCAGCGUCCAAUAGGAAAGGAUCCAAAAGAUGUAGACAACCGAGCAAUCUGUGGAACUUCUGCCCAAGAAAGUAACCCACGACUGGCUAGAGCGAGUGUUCACCAAAUGUGAAAAUGUGGUUUACGUCAGCAUGCCGAGAUACAAAACCACGGGCCACUCCAAAGGGUUCGCCUUCAUUGAGUUUGAGACGGAAGAGGAAGCACAGAAAGCCGUAGAGAUGCUAAACAACCCUCCAGAGGACGCCCCCUGGAAGCCUGGCAUUUUUCCCAAGACCAAGAACAGGAAGCCUAUCCCUGAUCCACCCUCCCUGAACACCACACAAGACGACAAAGAGGAGGAGAAUAAAUCUCUCCAGGGAGAGAGCCAAAAAGGAUGCCUCGUCACAGAUGGAGACGACAGUGGGCGGGGGCAAACAGGAAAUAGAAUCUGAGUCUAAACCGUCUGACAGGAAGAGGAAACACACGGCCGAGUUUGCAGAGGGCGUAGCACCUGCGGAGGGCACAGGGAAGCCCCCAUCCAGAAAGCUAGAGAAGAAGAGACGGCGGUCCCAGACAGGGGAGAGCUCAGAGAGUGACGCACAGGGAGACAUGCCAUCCAAGCUGAGGAAGACGAGUGAGGAUGACAUGGUGGAGAGCGAUGGGAAAGACCUGCAAGUCAAGGGUGAGGAAGAGGAGGAGAAGAUGGAAGACUUCCUACUGAAAGCCAAGAGGACAAGGAAGAAGAAGCACAAGGAGAGGGUGAAGAUCAGGGAAGAGGUUAUUCCUCUCCGGGUUCUCUCCAAGAAAGACUGGCUGAAGCAGGAGUAUAUGACCCUGCAGAAGAGGAGCAUGGGAGCUCUGAAGACUUGCUUGACCAAGUUCCACCACAAGGGGGCAGGAGGGAAGAUGGACACCAGUCUGCAACAGACAUCCGAGGAGAGUAAGGCAGGUGAAAAGGAGACUUCCCUCGGGGCUGCAUCAUCUAGAUCACACUCACCAAACCCUUUCCUGGCAGAAAAGUCAUCAAGGAUGCUCUCGCAGAGGUUUCCCCAGUGGUGUAUGUGGACGCCAUAGAGGGUGACGCUGAGGGUUAUGUCCGCUUCAAGAGUCCAGUCGAGGCCAAGGCCAUCAUUGAUGCUCGCACCGGGCUGCAGAACAAACACAGCCGGCAGCUAGAGAUCCUCUCUGCGUCAUCAUUAGAGGAUCAAGAAAGGCGACCAUGAACAAAGGUACUGGCAGAAGAUCCUGGUGGACCGCCAAGCUAAGCUGAACCGACCCAGAAACAAGAAAAGGGGCACAGAGAAAAUAAGAUUCCCCUCCAUUUUAAUUUAUAUGGAUUAUGUACAAGGAUCUCUAGCAGCACCCAACCAUUUUAAUUUGAGGAGAAACAUUUUGUUAAUGAGCAUGUUCACUCAUUAUUAUAUGCCUUAAAUUGAUUUUAACAGAGCAAUGUCUCCGUUGUAUCUCUUUCUGCCCCAGCUCAUUUCCAAAGCUGAGAAAAUCAUCAUAGCUAGGGACAGGAGGCCACUAAACACAUCCGCAUCAUGGAGGACUGAUCAAGACUGUCAAGUUCUACUGUGCGUCCUUUCUUUUCUGAAUCAUUUUCUUCCUUAAAGAGUUUGACUGUCGGCCAUUUUGUCAUUUCUACAUAGGAUGAUGUUUUUGUGAAGCUUUGUUUUUCUUUUCAUGAGAAUGGUACAAGCAGAGAGAAGCCAUGGUUUUAAAGGGGAUGUUGUAGUUUUAAAAGGGAUACACGAUAACCUUCCGCUGACUGGAAGGUUUUCAUGUAUGGCGACUGUUUUACAAGCAGAAAGCUGCUACGUUAUUUAAAUUGGGAAUAGGUUCGCUCACUAGUUUUUUGUGUUGCAGAGAGAGGUGCCAAAAUUUCAGUUAUGAAAUGUGAAUGUAUAUACUGUAAAUAUGAUUUCAAAACGUGCCCAGAAAAGCUUUGUUCAAGAACAAUGUUUCGGUAACAUGGCAACGAUAACCUUUUCUUUUUGAAUACAUUUUUACUAUUUUCUAAAUAAUAAAUAUACAUUUUGGUG